UGUCAGAACUUAGCAGACAGCGCCAUGCAGUUCUCUGCUGGCGCUGUCCCCUCUGCUCUCUCCACAGGUGACUGCAGCUGACUGGUGGGCGGGGCGCACACACCUGCGGCUCGUUCUGCGAGUCAGCGCUGGAGCAUAAGAGCAGCGCUCAGACAGCCGGUGGAUGCCAGAGUGUUAGCAUCAGUGGUUCCCCGUGCCUUGAUCCAGCCGUGGCGCUUAUGCACUUGUCUUGCCAGACUUCAGAGGAAAACCAGUCAGUCUGACUCGCCAGAUUCCACCGGCUGUCCUCGACCACCUCGGGCGCUGCUCGGACCUCCCCUUGCUCCUACAGCUCACCGUCGCUCAGUCACCAACCUCCAUCAGAGCCGAAGGCCCUAAGUUCCUCCUCCGCUCCACUUCCCCCGGUCCGGUCCCCGAGCCUUGUGAUCGUCUCACCCCGGCUCCGUUCAGCCUUGAACCCAGAUACUUAAAUUCUGUGAUCAGCCAACUCCGCUCCUGUAAAUAAAACCUUUAAACUGCUCAUUGUUGUCCCAGGUGUCUCUCUGCAUGUGGGCCGAUACGUCCGAAUACGUCCGAAACAUGAUAGAAGAACACUCUGGCCAACAAUCUGACCCAGCAGGGGCAUUUGGGACGACUUUAACAGCCCAUCAGGAGCAGCUUCAGACCCUCCAUAUGGCCGUGCAAACAACACAGAACCAGUUGCAGGGGCUGGCAGCUCAGAUCAGUCAACUUUCUGACACUUUCCGUGCUACACUACAGUCCGGCUCAGCAUCCAGUGGUGCCCCUGAGCCCCAAUCUGCCGAUCCUCCCCGAUCUGUACCUGAAAACUCAGCCCCUAGUCCAGAGAAAUUCUCUGGGGAUAGUGAGGAUUGUGCUGGU